rnacentral:rRNA from 1 species
ACACUCUCGCCGAAAGUCCAAGGGUUCCUGCUUAAAGCUAAUCUGAGCAGGGUAAGCCGACCCCUAAGGCGAGGCCGAAAGGCGUAGUCGAUGGGAACCAGGUUAAUAUUCCUGGGCCAGAUGGAAGUGACGGAUCUCGAGGGUAGUUCAUCCUUAUCGGAUUGAAUGGGCUGCUUAGAGGUUCCUGGAAAUAGCUCCAUCGCUAGAUCGUACCCUAAACCGACACAGGUGGACUGGUAGAGAAUACCAAGGCGCUUGAGAGAACUAUGUUGAAGGAACUCGGCAAAAUACCUCCGUAAGUUCGCGAGAAGGAGGCCCGGUUCCUAGGCAACUAGGGGCUGGGGGCACAAACCAGGGGGUGGCGACUGUUUAUUAAAAACACAGGGCUCUGCGA